AUUGAACGCUGGCGGCAGGCCUAACACACGCAAGUCGAGCGGAUGAAGGGAGCUUGCUCCUGGAUUCAGCGGCGGACGGGUGAGUAAUGCCUAGGAAUCUGCCUGGUAGUGGGGGAUAACGUCCGGAAACGGGCGCUAAUACCGCAUACGUCCUGAGGGAGAAAGUGGGGGAUCUUCGGACCUCACGCUAUCAGAUGAGCCUAGGUCGGAUUAGCUAGUUGGUGGGGUAAAGGCCUACCAAGGCGACGAUCCGUAACUGGUCUGAGAGGAUGAUCAGUCACACUGGAACUGAGACACGGUCCAGACUCCUACGGGAGGCAGCAGUGGGGAAUAUUGGACAAUGGGCGAAAGCCUGAUCCAGCCAUGCCGCGUGUGUGAAGAAGGUCUUCGGAUUGUAAAGCACUUUAAGUUGGGAGGAAGGGCAGUAAGUUAAUACCUUGCUGUUUGACGUUACCAACAGAAUAAGCACCGGCUAACUUCGUG
rnacentral:rRNA from 1 species